rnacentral:rRNA from 1 species
GGGCGGGGCGGGGGCCGGGGGGUAAGCCAUGCGAGUCGAACGAUAGCAAUACAUGGCGUACUGCUCAGUAACACGUGGACAACCUGCACUUAGGACGGGUAUAAACCCGGGAAACUGGGUAUAAUUCCCGAUAGAUCUCGUCUGCUGGAAUGCAUCGAGAUCCAAAGCUCCGGCGCCUAAGGAUGGGUCUGCGGCCUAUCAGGUAGUAGUGGGUGUAGCGUACCUACUAGCCUACGACGGGUACGGGUUGUGAGAGCAAGAGCCCGGAGAUGGAUUCUGAGACACGAAUCCAGGCCCUACGGGGUGCAGCAGGCGCGAAAACUUUACAAUGCUGGGAACAGCGAUAAGGGAACCUCGAGUGCCAGGUUACAAAUCUGGCUGUCGUGAUGCCUAAAAAGCAUUAUAUAGCAAGGGCCGGGCAAGACCGGUGCCAGCCGCCGCGGUAACACCGGCGGCUCGAGUGGUAACCGUUAUUAUUGGGUCUAAAGGGUCUGUAGCCGGCCGGAUAAGUCUCUUGGGAAAUCUGGCAGCUCAACUGUCAGGCUUUCAGGGGAUACUGUCUGGCUCGAGGCCGGGAGAGGUGAGAGGUACUUCAGGGGUAGGGGUGAAAUCUUGUAAUCCUUGAAGGACCACCAGUGGCGAAGGCGUCUCACCAGAACGGACCUGACGGCAAGGGACGAAAGCUAGGGGCACGAACCGGAUUAGAUACCCGGGUAGUCCUAGCCGUAAACGAUACUCGCUAGGUGUCGGCCACGGUGCGACCGUUGUCGGUGCCGUAGGGAAGCCGUGAAGCGAGCCACCUGGGAAGUACGGCCGCAAGGCUGAAACUUAAA